rnacentral:rRNA from 1 species
AGUCUUGAUCUCUAGACUAAGCCAUGCAAGUGCAAGUACACGACUCCUUGAGAGACGAUGACCGCGAACGGCUCAUUAUAACGGUCGUAAUUUACAGGAUCAGCGUUAUUAUACGUGGAUAACUGUAGAAUUUUCUAGAGCUAAUACAUGCAAUCGAGCUCUGAUCCUUGGUCAUUAAUUUUUCGGAAUUGGUGAUUUAUAAUCUGGUGUAAAAACUAGGUUGAGGUAUGAGCGCUUUUAUUAGACCAAUAAAGUAUUGUGUUCUUUGGAAUACAAGCUCGUCAUUUUGACACCGUUUAUACGGAUUUAUGUUGGUGACUCUGAAUAACUGUAGCCGAUCGCUAACGGCUUUAAUGUCGGCGACGGUUCUUAUAAGCGACUGACUUAUCAACUUUUGACGGUAGGGCAUAUUGCCUACCAUGGUUAUUACGGGUAACGGAGAAUCAGGGUUCGAUUCCGGAGAGGGAGCCUGAGAAACGGCUACCACAUCCAAGGAAGGCAGCAGGCGCGCAAAUUACCCACUCCCGGCACGGGGAGGUAGUGACGAAAAAUAACGAUGCGGGACUCAUUCCGAGGCUCCGUAAUUGGAAUGAGAACAAAAUAAAAAUGUUAGCGAGGAUCAAUUGGAGGGCAAGUCUGGUGCCAGCAGCCGCGGUAAUUCCAGCUCCAAUAGCGUAUAUUAAAGUUGUUGCGGUUAAAAAGCUCGUAGUCGGAUUUGUAGUCUGGGCUGUGACGGUCCGUUGUUUGUUGCCGUGGUGUAAAUAUCUUUGCUCAUAUAGGAUUUCAAUGUUCCUUAACCGGUUCGUUUUGACUUAUUAUGUGGGAGGUGGCAGCACGGUGCCUUAUGGUAGAACGCCGUCCUGUUUCCUAGACGCAAAAUCGUAUAAUAUACGAUUUGUUUCUGGUCGUUCUCUUGAAGGGAUCUGUGAAUUACGGCAUGCAGAAUAUGCUAGUUCGCUGGUUAUGAUACAUGUUCGUAUCACAGUUUCCGUAUGGGUGUUGCGUGUUUCUUCGUUCUUUAUUGGAUGAGUUCCGCAGCAAGAUCAGAAGCAUGUCACUUUGAAAAAAUUAGAGUGCUCAAAGCGGGUGUGGUGUAUUAUUAUGCCGUUUAUCGCUCGAACAGGUCAGCAUGGAAUGAUGGAAUAAGACCAUGGUCUAAUUCUCUUGGUAUAACAGAUAUGUGGUAAUGAUCGAUAGAGACUGCCGGUAGGGCMUYCGUACUGCGACGCUAGAGGUGAAAUUCUUGGACCGUCGCAUGACGCACAACUGCGAAGGCAUUUGCCAAGAAUGUUUUCGUUGAUCAAGAACGAAAGUUGGAGGUUCGAAGGCGAUUAGAUACCGCCCUAGUUCUAACUGUAAACUGUGCCAACUAGCGAUUCGCUCGUGUUAAUUUACAAUGGAAAAAAUGAUCGAGUGAGCAACCCCCGGGAAACCUAAGUUUUUAGGCUCCGGGGGGAGUAUGGUUGCAAAGCUGAAACUUAAAGGAAUUGACGGAAGGGCACCACCAGGAGUGGAGCCUGCGGCUUAAUUUGACUCAACACGGGAAAACUCACCCGGCCCAGACACCGUUAAGAUUGACGUAUUUAUAGCUACUUCUUGAUUCGGUGGGUGGUGGUGCAUGGCCGUUCUUAGUUGGUGGAGUGAUUUGUCUGGUUGAUUCCGAUAACGAACGAGACUCUAGCCUAUUAAUUAGUCGCACAAUUUACGGUGAUUGGUUGUAUAUAGUUUAUAAUCAAUUUUAUCGUUGUGCGAAAGCUUAACGCUACUUCUUAGAGGGACCGGCGGCAUUUAGCCGCACGAGAUUGAGCGAUAACAGGUCUGUGAUGCCCUACGAUGUCCGGGGCUGCACGCGCGCUACAAUGAACGGUUCAACGUGGAAUGUCCUGGUCUGAGUUAAGAAUUGGGAAACCCAUUGAAUUUCGUUCGUGAUUGGGAUCGGAGUUUGGAAUUGUCCUCCGUGAACGAGGAAUUCCUAGUAGGCGCGAGUCACUAACUCGCGUCGACUACGUCCCUGCCCUUUGUACACACCGCCCGUCGCUACUACCGAUCGAAUGGUUUAGUGAGGUCUUCGGACUAUUGAGCACCGAUCUAUAUUGGCAGUUUAACGGCUGUUGAUGUGCCGGUGAUG